GAUGAACGCUGGCGGCGUGCCUAAUACAUGCAAGUCGAGCGAACAGACGAGGAGCUUGCUCCUCUGACGUUAGCGGCGGACGGGUGAGUAACACGUGGAUAACCUACCUAUAAGACUGGGAUAACUUCGGGAAACCGGAGCUAAUACCGGAUAAUAUAUUGAACCGCAUGGUUCAAUAGUGAAAGACGGUUUUGCUGUCACUUAUAGAUGGAUCCGCGCCGCAUUAGCUGUUGGUAAGGUAACGGCUUACCAAGGCGACGAUGCGUAGCCGACCUGAGAGGGUGAUCGGCCACACUGGAACUGAGACACGGUCCAGACUCCUACGGGAGGCAGCAGUAGGGAAUCUUCCGCAAUGGGCGAAAGCCUGACGGAGCAACGCCGCGUGAGUGAUGAAGGUCUUCGGAUCGUAAAACUCUGUUAUUAGGGAAGAACAAAUGUGUAAGUAACUAUGCACGUCUUGACGGUACCUAAUCAGAAAGCCACGGCUAACUACGUG
rnacentral:rRNA from 1 species